GAUGAACGCUGACAGAAUGCUUAACACAUGCAAGUCAACUGUGGCGGACGGGUGAGUAACGCGUAAAGAACUUGCCUCACAGUUAGGGACAACAUUUGGAAACGAAUGCUAAUACCUGAUACUGUGAGAUAGCUUUGCGUCCCAUUAGCUAGUUGGAGAGGUAACGGCUCACAAAGGCGAUGAUGGGUAGCCGGCCUGAGAGGGUGAUCGGCCACAAGGGGACUGAGACACGGCUCUUACUCCUACGGGAGGCAGCAGUGGGGAAUAUUGGGCAAUGGACAAAAGUCUGAUCCAGCAAUUCUGUGUGCACUAUGAAGUUUUCUGAAUGUAAAGUGCUUUCAGUUGGGGAGCGGUACCAACAGAAGAAGUGACGGCUAAAUACGUGCCAGCAGCCGCGGUAAUAG
rnacentral:rRNA from 1 species